ensembl:Mt_tRNA
CAGCCCCGUGGUGAAGAAAACAUAUUGGAUUGCAAAUCCGAAGACGUAGAUUAAUACUCUGCCGGGGCUUU